rnacentral:lncRNA from 1 species
AUUUUUUAAUUGAAAUUAACUAUAAGACAGGUAGUCAGAUUCAAAGAGUAUUUAUGUAUUUAACUAAUUAAAGAAAAGCUUUUAACAUAAAUUAAAAUGGAUGAAAACAGUGUUAGGAAAAUUGUAGACUGGAAUAUAGAUUGCAUGAAAGAGGAUUUAAUGGAUUGCAGAACAGAAAUUAAAAUUGCAGAAUAAAUAUAACUUU